CUUCUCCAUCUCACUAUCGCCGCUGGCGGACCAAUUCCACAAUUGAGUAGCCGGCAGCUCGAUUCCUCCUUCGAGCAGCUGGAGGAUCAAUUCCACCAUCGAGUACCAGGCGAAUGUGGUGGCACCGUUACAGACAAUCAAUCGGGCGGCAUGAUUAAUUCAGAUCCAGGAACAAUGACAAUCAGGUAAUUUUUGAAAAUUCCCUAGUCCCCUUAUUGGAUUGUAGAGUGGUUGUGGAUGGAGAUGA
rnacentral:lncRNA from 1 species